rnacentral:sRNA from 1 species
GCUGGGUGUGAUGACACAUACCUCUAAUCCCAGUUACGUGGGAGGCUGAGGCAAGAGGAUCUCCAAAUUUGAGGCCAGGCUCAGCCACUUAUUGAGACCUUGUCUCAA